GGGGAAUAUUGGGCAAUGGGCGCAAGCCUGACCCAGCAACGCCGCGUGAAGGAAGAAGGCUUUCGGGUUGUAAACUUCUUUUAAGUGGGAAGAGUAGAAGACGGUACCACUUGAAUAAGCCACGGCUAACUACGUGCCAGCAGCCGCGGUAAUACGUAGGUGGCAAGCGUUGUCCGGAUUUACUGGGUGUAAAGGGCGUGCAGCCGGGCAUGCAAGUCAGAUGUGAAAUCUCAGGGCUUAACCCUGAAACUGCAUUUGAAACUGUAUGUCUUGAGUGCCGGAGAGGUAAUCGGAAUUCCUUGUGUAGCGGUGAAAUGCGUAGAUAUAAGGAAGAACACCAGUGGCGAAGGCGGAUUACUGGACGGUAACUGACGGUGAGGCGCGAAAGCGUGGGGAGCGAACAGGAUUAGAUACCCUGGUAGUCCACGCUGUAAACGAUGGAUACUAGGUGUGCGGGGACUGACCCCCUGCGUGCCGCAGUUAACACAAUAAGUAUCCCACCUGGGGAGUACGAUCGCAAGGUUGAAACUCAAAGGAAUUGACGGGGGCCCGCACAAGCGGUGGAUUAUGUGGUUUAAUUCGAAGCAACGCGAAGAACCUUACCAGGUCUUGACAUCCUGCUAACGAAGUAGAGAUACAUUAGGUGCCCUUCGGGGAAAGCAGAGACAGGUGGUGCAUGGUUGUCGUCAGCUCGUGUCGUGAGAUGUUGGGUUAAGUCCCGCAACGAGCGCAACCCCUAUUGUUAGUUGCUACGCAAGAGCACUCUAGCGAGACUGCCGUUGACAAAACGGAGGAAGGUGGGGACGACGUCAAAUCAUCAUGCCCCUUAUGACCUGGGCUACACACGUAAUACAAUGGCGGUCAACAAAGGGAUGCAAAGCCGCGAGGCAGAGCGAACCCCAAAAAGCCGUCCCAGUUCGGAUCGCAGGCUGCAACCCGCCUGCGUGAAGUCGGAAUCGCUAGUAAUCGUGGGUCAGCAUACCACGGUGAAUACGUUCCCG
rnacentral:rRNA from 1 species